rnacentral:rRNA from 1 species
AUUGAACGCUGGCGGCAUGCCUUACACAUGCAAGUCGAACGGCAGCGGGGGAGAAGCUUGCUUUUCCUGCCGGCGAGUGGCGAACGGGUGAGUAAUACAUCGGAACGUGCCCUGUAGUGGGGGAUAACUAGUCGAAAGAUUAGCUAAUACCGCAUACGACCUGAGGGUGAAAGUGGGGGACCGCAAGGCCUCAUGCUAUAGGAGCGGCCGAUGUCUGAUUAGCUAGUUGGUGGGGUAAAGGCCUACCAAGGCGACGAUCAGUAGCUGGUCUGAGAGGACGAUCAGCCAAACUGGGACUGAGACACGGCCCAGAAUCCUACGGGAGGCAGCAGUGGGGAAUUUUGGACAAUGGGCGAAAGCCUGAUCCAGCAAUGCCGCGUGUGCGAAGAAGGCCUUCGGGUUGUAAAGCACUUUUGUCCGGAAAGAAAUGGCUCUGGUUAAUACCUGGGGUCGAUGACGGUACCGGAAGAAUAAGGACCGGCUAACUACGUGCCAGCAGCCGCCGCAG